rnacentral:rRNA from 1 species
AGCAUGUGGUUAAUUCGACGCAACGCGUAAGAACCUUACCGGGGUUUGAACUGUACCUGCAACAUUCAGAGAUGGAUGGUUCCUAGGGAACUGGUAUAGAGGUGCUGCAUGGCUGUCGUCAGCUCGUGUCGUGAGAUGUUGGGUUAAGUCCCGCAACGAGCGCAACCCUUGUCUGUAGUUGCCAUCAGGUUAAGCUGGGCACUCUACGGAGACUGUCGGCGAUAAGCCGGAGGAAGGUGGGGAUGACGUCAAGUCCUCAUGGCCUUUAUGUCCCGGGCUACACACGUCAUACAAUGGUCGGUACAGGGGGUUGCCAACCCGCAGGGGGAGCCAAUCCCAUAAAGCCGAUCGUAGUCCGGAUUGCAGUCUGCAACUCGACUGCAUGAAGUCGGAAUCGCUAGUAAUCGCGGAUCAGCAUGUCGCGGUGAAUACGUUCCCGGGUCUU